CGUGUAGGCGGACAGGUCAGUCGAGGGUGAAAUCCUACAGCUUAACUGUAGGAUUGCUUUGAUACUGCUCGUCUUGAGUUCGGGAGAGGGAAGCGGAAUUCCUGGUGUAGCGGUGAAAUGCGUAGAUAUCAGGAAGAACACCGGUAGCGAAGGCAGCUUCCUGGCCCGAUACUGACGCUGAAGCGCGAAAGCGUGGGGAGCAAACA
rnacentral:rRNA from 1 species